rnacentral:rRNA from 1 species
CUCCUACGGGAGGCAGCAGUAAGGAAUCUUCCACAAUGGGGGCAACCCUGAUGGAGCAAUACCGCGUGUAGGAUGAAGCGUUUCGGCGUGUAAACUACUUUUAUCACCGAAGAUUAUGACUGUAGGUGAAGAAUAAGGACCGGCUAACUACGUGCCAGCAGCCGCGGUAAUACGUAGGGUCCAAGCGUUAUCCGGAAUUACUGGGCGUAAAGCGUCUGUAGGCGGCUUUUCAAGUCGGGUGCGAAAUCUUGUGGCUCAACCAUAUAGAUGUUGCCCGAAACUGAUAUGCUAGAGGUAGGUAGAGGCAAGUGGAACUUGCGGUGUAGGAGUGACAUCCGUAGAUAUCGCAAAGAACACCAAUGGCGAAGGCAGCUUACUGGGCCUUACCUGACGCUCAGAGACGAAAGCGUGGGGAGCGAACGGGAUUAGAUACCCCGGUAGUCCACGCCGUAAACGAUGAUCACUAUGAGUAUGGAGAUUCGACCCUCUGUGCUCAGUAGCUAACGCGUUAAG